GCCCUCAAUUUUUUUUUUUAAUGUAACAGAUAUAUAAAUGGGUUUAGGAAAACUAUAAAUACAUUAUAGUAAUGUAAUGGGAUCCAAAUUCUUUUUUAAAAGAACAAAACGAAGAGGGAAGUGCAACCUUAGACUGACAUUUAAAGCAGAUAUAUCAUAUAUGAAUAUUAAUAGAGCAAACAUGAUGCUAACGGUCUUAAAAAUUGUCUCAAAGUUAUUGUUCAGUAAGUUUGUUGUGCUAGUACACAUAGUUAUUAAAG
rnacentral:misc_RNA from 1 species